UGUUUUGUUUAGGGUUUUUAACCCACAAGUGAUGUUCAAGAUUCAAGCUUGAUGAAGGUGUGAUUAUGGACUAACUUGGGUUGUCCAACAUAGAAUCCCCACAUUACUUGAUGAUUUCUCUUUGUAUAGUUGUUUCUUAUUCUUGUAUUGUUAUUAGUUCAUGACCCUCCUUGUAUGUUUUUACAUCAAGUGUAGUGGUGAACCAUAAGAGGUACCUAAGUGGAAGCUUGUCCUUCCUACCUCCUACAUGACUUCUAUGACACAUUUUGAGGUACCUAAAUGAAGAUGUAAUCUUCUACCUCAUGCUUGAAAUACUUGAAAAAUCUGGACUUAAUAAUAUAAACUAUACAACCUAAAUAAUAUCUAUGCACAUUCGAACCUUUGAUGUUGAACUCAUGUUCAUUUGUCAAAAUAGUAGGACAUCAUCUAAGACCUAAACCUUGUUAUGAUUCUUAUGAGUGCUAAACUCAUGAAAACAUUAUUAUAACCCUUGUGGUUACCAAGUGUCAUACAAGUGUUAUGUGUUGAAGAUGAUUAUUUCACAUGUUAUUCUCAUAUGUUAUUUUCGUUGUUUUAUUCCGAAUCUCGACUCUAAGCAUACUUGAACUUUAACCCUUAUACUUUCGGACAUUAAAUCUCUACUCGUCAACGAUUGGAUAAUCGGAAAGCCUAUGCAAUAUUGUUGAGGACGAUGAUGCUAUGAAAUGAAGUAGCGUUGAUGC
rnacentral:lncRNA from 1 species